rnacentral:rRNA from 1 species
CCCUUAGAUGUCCGGGGCUGCACGCGCGCUACACUGAAGGAAUCAGCGUGCUAAAACCAUUGUCGAAAGGCAUUGGUAAACCUAUUAAAAUCCUACGUGAUUGGGAUCGGGAAUUGCAAUUAUUUCCCUUGAACGAGGAAUUCCCAGUAAGUGUGGGUCAUAAGCUCGCGUUGAUUACGUCCCUGCCCUUUGUACACACCGCCCGUCGCUGCCCGGGACUGAGCCGUUUCGAGAAAAGCGGGGACUGCUGCUGUCGGGGCUUUCGGGCCUUGGCUUCGGUGGAAACCGCUUUAAUCGCAGUGGCUUGAACCGGGCAAAAGUCGUAACA